GACGAACCGUGCGAACGUUAUUCGGAAUCACUGGGCUUAAAGCGCGUGUAGGCGGGACGGCACGUCGGUUGCUGAAAUCCCCCGGCUCAACCGGGGAACGGGCGCCGAUACGACCGUCCUGGAGGGACGUAGGGGGACCUGGAACUUCCGGUGGAGCGGUGAAAUGCGUUGAGAUCGGAAGGAACGCCCGUGGCGAAAGCGAGGUCCUGGACGUUUUCUGACGCUGAGACGCGAAAGCCAGGGGAGCGAACGGG
rnacentral:rRNA from 1 species